AUAACCAAGCCCCAUCCCCCUUCGGCGGCACUCUCUCCAAACCCCUUUCUCUUUUUCCUUUCUACUUUUCCUCUCAUCCGGUCAAGGCAACCACCAUGACCACCGACACCGAACAGUCCCGAUGAGCGGUUAAACAGGCCACCAAACCACGACCAAACAAACCCACGACCCAGAAAUACCCGAAAUCCUCACUAAAAACGAACACACAACCCCCUGAACAAGCCCCAAAAAACCUUUACCUUUGGCGGCUUGAUGUCGUUUUAGAUCUCGAGGAUGGCGAGGCUCCUUUUCUGACGGGGAAGGUAAGUUUCUUUCCUCUUAACAUUUUUUCUUUUUGUUUUUUUGGAUAUCCAGUUCACUCAUAAAAAGGGAAGAAAUCUCUCUGUUUUUUUGUCUUUUCGGUUCUGUGUCCGGUGCAAAAAAAUGGCCUCUUGCUUUUUUUGGCUGUCACGUUUUGUUCCAUUUAUUUGAAGGGAAAUAAUUUCCCCUUUUAUUAUUGUUUUCCUCCUAUAUUUCUCCCCCACUCUUUGUUGUUUUUGUUUUCCUUUUGUUUUUCUGUUUUGCUGAUAUUUCCUAUCUCAUUUUGUUUGCAUGCGUCGGGGGAGCCUCUGCCACUGUCGAGGGAAUGUGGCAGAGGGGAGCAUACGACCGUCAGAUGCUCGGGUACAGUAGGGAGCGGUUAAGACGUGCGCGCGUGAAAGCUCAGGAGGCGACUGGGGCUACGCAUGUGAAUUUCACACACUGGAUCUAACGAUUGGUGUUCUUUGGCGGCAGCUGGUCUCCUUUAGGGUAAAACCCUAAGUUUUGUUGCAUAUGGGCCAUUGGAUAUCAACAUAUCCAACCAUAGAUAGAUCUGAUGGCUCCAGGCUUCUGGCGGCGCUGGACAAAAGAAGAGAACCCUAACCACCUUGGACUUGCACGAGUGAGGUUUAAUUCAGUUGGGUUAUUUUUCCUAGUCAAUUUUUGGGCUUCGUUUAAGUUUGUAACCUUAGGCAUCCAAACAAGAUUAAUAAAAUGUUAACUAUUUAUUUUUAA